AAUAGAUACCCGGGUACGUCCACGCCGUAAACGAUGAGUGCUAAGUGUUAGAGGGUUUCCGCCCCUUUAGUGCUGCAGCAAACGCAUUAAGCACUCCGCCUGGGGGAGUACGGCCGCAAGGCUGAAACUCAAAAGGGAUUGACGGGGGACCCCGCACAAGCGGUGGAGCAUGUGGUUUAAUUCGAAGCAACGCGAAAAACCUUACCAGGUCUUGACAUCCUCUGACAAUCCUAGAGAUAGGACGUUCCCCCUUCGGGGGGACAGAGUGACAGGUGGUGCAUGGUUGUCGUCAGCUCGUGUCGUGAGAUGUUGGGUUAAGUCCCGCAACGAGCGCAACCCUUGAUCUUAGUUGCCAGCAUUCAGUUGGGCACUCUAAGGUGACUGCCGGUGACAAACCGGAGGAAGGUGGGGAUGACGUCAAAUCAUCAUGCCCCUUAUGACCUGGGCUACACACGUGCUACAAUGGAUGGUACAAAGGGCUGCAAAACUGUGAAGUCGAGCGAAUCCCAUAAAACCGAUUCUCAGUUCGGAUUGCAGG
rnacentral:rRNA from 1 species